rnacentral:rRNA from 1 species
AUUGAACGCUGGCGGAAUGCUUUACACAUGCAAGUCGAACGGUAGAGGGGGCAACCCCUCGAGAGUGGCGAACGGGUGAGUAAUAUAUCGGAACGUGCCCAGUCGUGGGGGAUAACGUAGCGAAAGUUACGCUAAUACCGCAUACGAUCUAAGGAUGAAAGCGGGGGAUCGCAAGACCUCGCGCGAUUGGAGCGGCCGAUAUCAGAUUAGGUAGUUGGUGGGGUAAAGGCCCACCAAGCCAACGAUCUGUAGCUGGUCUGAGAGGACGACCAGCCACACUGGAACUGAGACACGGUCCAGACUCCUACGGGAGGCAGCAGUGGGGAAUUUUGGACAAUGGGCGAAAGCCUGAUCCAGCCAUUCCGCGUGCAGGAUGAAGGCCCUCGGGUUGUAAACUGCUUUUGUACAGAACGAAAAGGUUUCUACUAAUACUAGGAGCUCAUGACGGUACUGUAAGAAUAAGCACCGGCUAACUACGUGCCAGCAGCCGCCGCGG